rnacentral:rRNA from 1 species
UACGUAGGUGGCAAGCGUUGUCCGGAUUUACUGGGCGUAAGAGCGACGCAGGCGGUCGUCCAAGUCGCGUGUGAAAGCCCCCCGGCUCAACUGGGGAGGGUCACGCGAUACUGGUCGACUCGAAGGCAGGAGAGGGUAGUGGAAUUCCCGGUGUAGUGGUGGAAAUGCGUAGAUAUCGGGAGGAACACCAGUGGCGAAGGCGACUACCUGGCCUGUUCUUGACGCUGAGGCGCGAAAGCUAGGGGAGCAAACGGGG